GUCAGGUAUGAGAACGAUUGCAAGCAAAAGCAGCUGAGGGACGCUGUCCAAGGAGUAGGCUCAGUAGUACAAACUGCAAAUACUCGAGAAGGGAAAAGUUCAGCCUUGUACUGGAAAGUGGUUUAGCAUGCUGGAGCUGGUUUUCUGCUUGGUUGCCCUACAACUUUGGCCCAACUACUUGGCCUCUGGGACUCAGAUUCCUCCUCUUUAAAAUGGUGCUAAUAAUAGCACCUACCCUCUGUGAGGAGGAUGCUGUGAGGACAAAAUGAGAUCAUCCACAUAAGCCGUGAACCCUGUUCCUGGUCAGGAAAUGAAUAAUAUGAAGUCUUCAUCUCCAUUCCCAACAGUCCCCAUUCUACUUCCAGAAAGUUGUUGAAGAAAGCUAGAAGAAAAAAGGCACCAAGAGUUCUCGAGUUAAUCAAAGACAGCAAUUUGAAUAAAUGGUCCUGAAGUCCACAUGAAUAAGUGUCACGAGAUCUGAUGGUUUUAAAAACGGGAGUCUCCUUGCACAAGCUCGCUCUCUCUUUGCCUGCUGCCAUCCACAUAAGAUGUGACUUGCUCAUCCUUGCCUUCUGCCAUGAUGGUGAGGCCUCCCCGGCCAUGUGGAACUGUUGCUCACACUGAAAAUCAGUUUCUUUUCCCCUGGUGCAAAGAACAGUAGUUUCUCCAAAACUGAAGCUGGAAAUUAUCUGAAAUAUCAGGUCCUCCAGAAAAGGGACGCGAAGCCCCCUUUGUAAUUUCUGCAUUAGCGUGCUCUCCUGGCAAGCAGGAAACUUCAUCAGAGAAGUCAGCCAAGGAACGUCUUUAAAUGGAAAUUGUGCAAACGAGGAGCAAAUGCAUUAAAAAGUUGCUGACGGGCAUGAAAUGCUUUGAUGUGAAGACGGAAAACUCCAAGCAGGAAGGAUUUUAACAUUUUGAAUCUGAUUGACUCUGUGGUUUCUCAGCACAGUUAUUCCACGGGCUAAAACAAAUGCAGAAAUGGUAUUUUCAGACCACAGCUGCAGAGAGGAUCGUGGUGAAUUUCAAUGAAAAUCCAUUUGAAUCUUGAGGUUCAGAUCUUAAAAAAGCAAAGGACAUGAGAGAAGUAAUAUUGUUGCUUGAAAUUUCAUUGCUUACAUCUAAAAGAAACUCCUAUUUUUAGGAGAAAUGUUGAAUCUUUGCAACGUGGUAGAUGCUCCCACAAAACUUUCUCCCAAAAUAGGAGAUAAAUGUUGGAAAGAGGCAAUUUAUUGAGUAUGCUGAUAGAGGUGGAGUUCAGAGACAGGCAAGCAUAUACAAGAGUCAUGAUGUUUUACAUUUUAUCUUCACAAAUGAGUUUCUUACAGUGGUCAAUGACAAACCAAUUUCAUUCAAAGCUUGCUUCAAUAGGCAACGAUUUGAUGCCAAUAUGUUAGCUAUUUACUUUGACCACCGUAUGCAUUAAAAAGAAUAAAAAUUAAGAAUACUCAAGCUGAACCUCCAACUUAGAUAGCAUUUUCCACAAAAAGUGAUGGAGGGAUAGACUGAAGUUAAAUGGGAUCAGGUAUGUGAUGAGAUCUCAGAAGUGUUUGCACAAUAAUGCAGAUACUCAUUUUAAACAGGGUCAUAAGGAUUGGAACUAAUAAAAAUAAUAGAAUAAAAUACCGAUCAAGAAUGUGUCCUCCUGAGUAUCUGGGUUUUGAAUUCUGGCGCCACAGAACUUGUCAGAUAUAUGACAUUAAACAAGAUACUUCAA